rnacentral:rRNA from 1 species
AAUAGAUACCCAGGUAGUCCACGCCGUAAACGAUGAGUGCUAAGUGUUAGAGGGCUUCCACCCUUUAGUGCUGCAGCUAACGCAUUAAGCACUCCGCCUGGGGAGUACGGCCGCAAGGCUGAAACUCAAAGGAAUUGACGGGGGCCCGCACAAGCGGUGGAGCAUGUGGUUUAAUUCGAAGCAACGCGAAGAACCUUACCAGGUCUUGACAUCCUUCGCUACCUCUAGAGAUAGAGGGUUCCCCUUCGGAGGACGGAGUGACAGGUGGUGCAUGGUUGUCGUCAGCUCGUGUCGUGAGAUGUUGGGUUAAGUCCCGCAACGAGCGCAACCCUUGACCUUAGUUGCCAGCAUUCAGUUGGGCACUCUAAGGUGACUGCCGGUGACAAACCGGAGGAAGGUGGGGAUGACGUCAAAUCAUCAUGCCCCUUAUGACCUGGGCUACACACGUGCUACAAUGGAUGGUACAAAGGGUCGCGAAACCGCGAGGUGGAGCUAAUCCCAAAAAACCCGAUUCUCAGUUCGGAUUGCAGG